rnacentral:lncRNA from 1 species
GGAAAGCAGGGCUCUGCACACUGUGCAGCUACCUUGUAAUCUCCCGUAAGCUCUGAAAAAGAUGUGGAUCCCCACUCUGCCGCUCUGGAACCUGGAUCUGCAUAUAAGAUGCAGGGAGAAACGUGAGUACGCCAACUAAUUAAGUAACUAAAGUAAAUAAGAUAUAAGUGUAGUGAAGAGCAGUUAAAAAUCACACACACACAAAUAUAAAUAUAUAUAUAUAUAUAUAUAUAUAUAAACAUGUGCAAUUAAUCCAUAUACGGGCAUAAUAACAAAUAAUAGAAUUUAAACAUAUAAUAACGGGAGGGGGAAAACAUACUGAGAGGAGUACGAGAUCAUGAAAAUGGAAUAGUAAAGAAAGACAAAAAAACAAUGCACAACAUCACCCUUCACACGAUUACUUCGUCCUCGCCAUAACAAAUGAAAUGAAUAUGAAAUGGCAGGUAUCACCCUUCAUGCUUUACAUUCUUCCUCACAUGAAAAUAAAUAUGCAAUGGUACGACAUCACCCUUCGUAUUUGUGAUGACCCAAAGGUUCAUUACUUGCUUUUAAUUAAAUUCUGUGUCUCCGAGGCUUAAAAAUCUCAUUUUUAUCACCUCGAUUUACAUGCACAGUCCGGGCGCUUAGCCAAAACGUUUAAAUAUAAAAAGCUAUGAAAAUUGCUAAGUUUUUAUUAUAAAUUGAGUAAAUUUUACUUCAGUCAACAUUUUGGGUAAACUAACCCGGACCCAUAAUUUGAUGUCCUGGAGGGUCCAUUGGAAAAUUAUGGGACUUGGGUGCUUUUCCGAAAUCGAAUUUCGAGGUCCCAAGACCGAGAAAUGAAUUUUUAAGAAAUAUUGUUUUUUUGAAAAUGUUUAAGGAAAUUUGAAAAAAACAUCAGUUUCAAUUGUAAUACUUGAAAUCAUUUACUUAACAAUUUUCAACGGAGGCUCUUUAUAAAAGAAGAGUGAAAUCAGAAAAAAUGUCAUCAAUGGGCCCCUCGGGCAUGGUACCACUCAUAAAUAUAGCCUCUCUGUCACUCGUGACUCAACUUUUGUCACACAAUACUCACACUCAGCACUCAGGCUCAAUAAUAUCUCAUAACAAUAGUAUUGAUAAUAAUCUCUACGAGAUGCAGUCUGAUCCAUAGUUUAUAGUCGACUACGCUUAUUGGGGGCGUACAGACUCCAGAAAGGCUCCUAUGGCCGAAGCGUCAUAUUGCUGUGGCGCGCAACCCGAUCCAACAUUUAUAUUGUUGCGGCGUACAACACAAUCCAUAUAAGUAUCACUGGGACGUGCAGUCCGAUCCAUAAUAUUGCUGCAGCGUGCAACCCCGUCCAUAAUAUACUAUAUAAUCCUCACCAUUAGGUUCUCGACUUCUCUCAGUCAUUAACCUUAUAGCCACUUGGGCAUAACAGUGCAAAUCAUGGAAACGCAGCCCAAACAGUUCUCACAUCUUAAGAAGUAGAGUCAUAAAAAUCGGGUUUAAACAAUAAGCAGGUAAAACAUGACUGAGGAUAUGCUUUCAAAAAUAGAGUGAGGAAAACAGUAAAAAUGCCCCUAUUGGUCUCAACAGGUUGGCACAAAGCCCAAACACGGCAUAUAACCCAUAAUAUAGUAUCAAUCUCUAAAAUACGUGAUAUCAUAAGAUCUCAAAUCAAAUCUGCGGCUUAGUAGUCGCAAUGGCACAGACCAAGUCACAAUCCCUACCAGCGCAUGCUCACACGCUCGUCACCUAGCAUGUGCAUCACCUCAUUUAUCAAAGCAAUAUGAAAUAUCGGGGUUUCAUAUCCUUAGUUCAAGAUUUACAAUCGUUACUUACUUUAAAUUAGAUGAAAUACUACUCCGCGACGCCUUUGCCUCUCGCCUCGGCCUGAACUCGCGCCGAAUCUACCCAAAAAUCAAAAUCAAUACAAUAAAAUAUUCUAAGGGAACGAAAUAAGCAAAUUAUAUCAAAAAUCUCGAAAUUGGUCCAACCCGACCCCCUCGCCGACAUCUCGAUAUUCGAUAAAAUAUCACAUCAACAGGAUCCUCAUCCUCCCACGAGUUCAUACAUACCAAGAAUACUAAAAUCCGGCCACAAAUGGCCCUCAAAUCCCUAGAUUAAGGUCUCAAGUUUCCAAGUCCUAACUCCCCAAUUUAGGCUUCAAAUCCCCUACAUUUCAUGCUUAAUUAGGUAAAAAUGACAAUUGGAUUGGUAUUAAGUUUGUAAUUCUUACCUCCAAGACGUUCUCUUUGAUUCUCUCUUCAAUCUCCCUCAAGAAGCUCCAAAACGUAGUAAAAAAUGGUGAACUAAGGCCAAUAAUUACGAAAAUUCCCUUUUAAACAUUCUGCCCAGUGAUUUGAAAUCCAUCUUUGUGAACGCGGUCAAUACCUCGCAUUCACGAAGCACAAAAAUACCGUUGACCAAAAAUCCUCCUUCACCAACCUCGCAUCUCCAUCGAGAAUGCAUUGAAUAAGGACCCAGCCCUUUGGGAACAUGGGAACUUCGACGCGAACGCGAAGGCCAACACCCCUGCCUCACAUCCCAGCCCUUCGCGAAUGUGAGGGUCUACUCAUGAAUGCUAAGCACAACUGUUUGCAACACUAACAUCAAAUUUUUCUGCAAUCUUUUCAACUUGAAAUGAUCCGCUCAACUAUCCGAAACUCACCCGAGGCCCUAUGGACCUCAACCAAACAUGACAACAUAUCCCAUAACCUCAUUCAAAUUUGUUCCAACCUUUGGAACACUCGAAAUGACAUCAAAACACAAAAUCCAAUCGGAUUCAAGCCUAAUAAUUUCCAAAAACUUCCAAAUUUUGCUUUUAAUUGAAACGUCUAUAAAUCUCGUCCGAAUGACCUGAAACUUUGGCACAGAUGUCACAAAUGACAUAACGGACCUAUUCCUAUUUUUGAAAUUCCAUUCUAACCCCUAUAUCAAAAUCUCAUAUGGCAACCAGAAAACAGCAAAAUUCUAAUUUUGCCAAUUCAAGCCUAAAUCUACUCCGGACUUCCAAAACAUAUUCCGAUCACACUACUAAGACUGAAACCACCUCCAAAAGCUAUCUGAACCAUCGAAACUCACAUCCAAACCGUUUUUCACAUAAGUCAACAUCUAGUUGACUUUUCCAACUCAAGCCUACUUAAAAGAGACUAAGUGUCUCAAAUGUUACCAAAACCUCUUCGAACCCGAACCAAUUAUUGUGAUAACACGUAAUACCACUGAACUUGGCAAUAAGAAGUAGAUGUGGGGAAAACAGAGUGAAUCCCAUGAAACAGCUAGCUGGGUCGUUACAUACUCCCCUUCUUAAAUAAACGUUCGUCCUCAAACAAGUCAAGAAAAGUACCUAAAGCCUCAAAUAGGUGAGGAUAUCUGCUCUGCAUCUCCCGCUUGGUGUCCCAGGUAGCCUCCUUCGUGGGCCGACCUCUCCCCUACACCUUUAAUGUUAUUUCCUUUGACCUCAACUUUCGAACCGGACGCUCCAAAAAAACCACUGGCUCCAUAUUAUAAAUCAAAUAAUCAUCCAACCGUACCAUGCAAAGAUCUUGAACAAGAGACGGAUCACCAAUAUACUUCCGGGGCAUAGAAAUAUGAAAUACUGCAUGCAUACUCGAUAAGUUGUGUGGAAAAGCAAGCUCAUAAACCACCUCCCCAAUCUUCCGAAGCACCUCAAAAGGCCCAAUGAAUCGAGGAGUCUUCCCAAAUCUCAUAACACCCUCCAUGGUUGAAACCUUCAACGGAACCUUCUCAUCAACCAUGUAGGACACAUCAAGAAGCUUCCUGAGAGCAUAAUUUUUUUGUCUUGACUGCACGGUAUGAAGCCUCUCCUAAAUCACAUUCACCUUGUCUAAAGCAUCCUACACUAAGCCUAUACCCAAUAGUCUAGCCCUACCCACCUCAAACCAACCAACCAGAUAUCUACAUAGUCUCCCGUACAAAGAAUCAAUGGAGCUAUCUGAACACUUAACUGGUAACUAUUGUUAGCAGCAAACUCUGCAAGCUGUAGAAACUGAUCUCAUGACCCUCCAAAAUCAAAGACAUAAGCACACAGAUAGUCUUACAAUAUCUGAAUAUUGCACUCGGACGGCCUGUCCGUCUGAGGGUGAAAAGUUAUGCUCAACUCAACUUGAGUACACAACUCUCACUGCACAGACCUUUAAAACUGUGAAGUAAACUGAGUGCCCCUAUCUAAAAUGAUGGAACUAGGACACCAUGCAAACGAACAAUUUCCUAAAUAUAGAUCUCUUCUAUCCGCUAUGAUGAAUAGGUAGUACACAUAGAAAUGCAGUAUGCGGACUUGGUCAGACGAUCCACACACCCAAAUAGCAUCAAAUUUCUUUAAAGUCCGUGAGAGACCAACUACAAAGUCUCUGGUGAUCCGCUCCCACUUCCACUCUAGAAUGUCCAUCUGUUGAAUUAAGCCACCCAGACUCUGAUGCUCAUAUUUCACCUGCUAACAAUUAAGACACCGAGCUACAAAUCCCACAAUAUCUUUCUUCAUUAUCCUCCACCAAUAAUGACGUCUCAUAUCCUGAUACAUCUUUGAGGCACCCGGAUAAAUGGAAUAUCGCGAGCUAUGGGCCUCGUCUAGAAUCAACUCCCGCAGCCCAUCCACAUUAGGCAUACAGAUCUGGCCCUGCAUCCUCAAUACUCCAUCAUCACCAAUAGUCACAUAUUUGGAAUUAUCGUGCUAAACCCUAUCCUUUAGGACAAGCAAAUGAGGAUCAUCAUACUGGUGCUCUCUGAUGCAAAUAAAUAAGGAAGACCAAGAAAUGACACAAGCCAAUACAAAAUUGGGCUCCAAAAGUAUACAACCUCAUGAACCAAUUGGACAAGGACUGAACAUAAACUGCAAAAGAUCUCUCCCAAUAGGAAUGUAAGCCAAUCUCCCCAUACUCACAGCCUUCCUACUCAAGGCAUCAACCACCAUAUUGGCCUUCCCCGGAUGGCAUAAAAAAGUUAAAUCAUAAUCCUUUAGCAGCUCCAACCAUCUCUGCUGCCUUAAAUUGAGAUCCUUCUGCUUGAAAAAGUGUUGGAGGCUACGAUGAUUAGUAAGCACCUCACAAGAUACAACAUCCAAAUAAUGCCUCCAAAUCUUCAGCGCGUGAACACUUGUAGCCAACUCCAAAUCAUGCACAUGGUAGUUCUUCUAAUGGGGCUUCAAUUAACGUGAAGCAUAAGAAAUAACUCUACGCUCCUGCAUCAACACACACCCAAUACCAACUCUCAAAGCAUCACAAUACAUGGUAUAUGAACCUGAAGUCGAUGUCAAAACUAACACUGGAGCUGUGGCCAGGGCAGUCAUGAGCUUCUGAAAGUUCUCUCAUUACUCAUACGACCUCCAGAUUAAAGCAUCCUUCUGAGUCAACUUGGUCAAGGGCAACGCGAUAUAUGAAAAUCCCUGAACAAACUGGUGGUAACAACCCACAAACCCAAGAAAGAUGUGAAUCUCUGUGGCUGAGGACGAUCUGGGCCAACCCUAAAUCGCCUCUACCUUCUUCGAAUCAACCUGAAUACCCUCGACGGAUACCACGUGCCCCAAGAAAGCCACUGAGCUGAGCCAAAAAUCACACUUGGAGAACUUUGCAAAAAGCUUAUGCUCCUUCAAUCUUUACAACACAACUUUCAAAUGCUAUGUAUGCUCCUCCUAACUACACAAAUACAUCAAAAUAUCACCAAUGAAAACUAUGAAAAAUGAGUCAAGAUAAGGCUGAAAUACGCUAUUUAUCAAAUUCAUGAACACUGUUGGGGAAUUGGUUAGCCCGAAAGAUACCACCAAGAACUCACAAUGAUCAUAUCGUGUCCUGAAAGUUGUCUUAAGAAUAUCUGAGUCCCUAUCUUCAACUGGUAAUAAAAUGAAAUGAGAUCAAUCUUGGAGAACACUCUCUCUACCUGAAGCUGGUCAAACAAAUCCUCCAUACGAGGCAGAUGAUACAUGUUUUUGAUUGUCAUUUCGUUCAACUGUAAGUAAUCAAUGCACAUCCUCAUAGUGCCAUCCUUCUUCUUCACAAGUAGAACAUGUGCACCCCAAGGAGACAAACUAGGCCAAAUAAACCACUUAUCAAGGAGUUUCUGAAGCAACUCAUUUAACUCUUUCAACUCUGCUGAUGCCAUACAAUAUGGUGGACUAGAAAUGGAUUGAGUGUCCGGCACCAGAUCAAUACCAAAAUUAAUAUCCCUGUCUGGUGGCAUGCCCGACAAGUUUAUUGAAAACACAUCAGGAAAAUACCUCACAAUAGGAAUAAAAUCAAUAAUGGGAGUCUCUAUACUAACAUCCCUCACAAAGGCUAUGUAGGAAAGACAACCCUUCCCAACCAUACAGUGGGCCUUCAAGAAUGAAACUACCCUACUAGGAACAUAUCAGUCGAACCUCGCCACUCAAUCCGUGGCACACCCGUCAUAGCCAAUGUCACUGUCUUAGCUUCACAGUCCAGAAUAGCACGACAUGAAGAUAGCAAAUCCAUUCCCAAAAUCACAUCAACGUCCACCAUACACAAGAAUAAUAAAUCCACUCGGGUCUUCAGAACCCCAAUAGUCACCACACACGACCUGUAAACACGGUCCAAAAUAGUAGUAUCAUCUACUGGAGUAGAUACAUGAACGCAUGAAAGAAGAGACUCACGAGGCGUAUCCAAAUAAUGUGAAAAAUUUGAUGACACAUAUGUAAAAGCAGAACUAUGAUCAAAUAAUACAUAGGCAUCUCUAUUGCAAACUGAGAUAAUACUUGUAAUCACAACAUCUGAAGUAACAAUAUCUGGUCUAGAGAGAGUGCAUAGAAACGAGCCUGACCCCUAGUUGAUUGGUCCCCCACCUAGCUGCCUAAGUGGGUGGUGAAGUAACUGGAGCUGAAGUCAAGGGUUGACCCCUCUGCUGAGAUGGACCCUCAAGAAGAUAAGGAAACUACCUUCUCAUAUGCCCAAAAUCUCCACACUUAUAACAACUCCUCGGUGCUAGAGACGGGGACUGAAGGGAAGCCUUGGCACCCGAAUGACCAGCUAAAGGACCUGGAAUAGAAGAACCCUCAACUGAUGGAGCACGGGACGAACUCUAGGCUAGAAGUGCAUUGAGUGAUUAAUAGCCCUAAUGAGGACUAUGACAACCACAAUCAGAUGAUGCCCCACCAUAACCUGGGCAAGCUGACUAAGCCUGCCUGAAUGGAUGGCCUUUGGCGUGCUAAAACUGAUAUCUCAAAAGGGGCACUACCAAAACUACCAGAUCCCUAAGGCCUUUUGGCCUAUCUUUUAUCUCGCUCCUAACGAUGUGCUGACUCAAUCUCAUAGGCGACGUCAGCAACUUCCUCAUAAGUAGCACCUGACACCAUCACCCUAGUCAUGAGAAUCCAAACCUGAUAUGUGAGGCCAUCAACGAACGUCCUGAUCCUCUUUCGAUAUGUGGGAAACAACUAGAUCGUGCGACAAGCUAACUUAGAGACUCGUAUCUCAUACCGUGUCAUAGUCAUAUGUCUCUAAUGCAACAGGUCAAACUACAUGCGCAGCUCCUCUCGGUGAAACUGUGGCAUAUACUUCUCAAGAAAGAGAACGGAGAACAACUUCCAGGUAAGGGGCUCUGCACCAACAGGCCUAUGCCUCUCAUAAUCCUCCCACCAAUUUAAGGCAACUCUAGAAAACUAAAAACUAGUAAAUGGUACACCACUGGUCUCCAAAAUACUCGUUGUACAAGAAUCCUCUAAAACGUAUCUAAGAAACCCCAAGCAUCUUCACCCUCAAAACUACUAAAAGUCAGAGGCUAAAGUGUACCAAACAUCUCAAAUCGAUGCCAACUGGUACCACAUACUUCUGAGCUGGUGCAACCGGCUGGGCUGGAGGUGCCCCUGGUGUCUGAGGUCCCUGCACAACCUGCUCACAUGUGCGAGCAACGGGAGUCUAAUUUCCUUCCCCAGCAUGCAAAGUAACUGUGUCUGUAGUAACUAAUAUCUCCUGGGCAAAACCGAUGCACACUGAUACAUUCUGGGCUAGAGCCCCCUGAAGGAAUGGAAUCACAAUAGGCACAGCCGUUGCCUGAGUUGGUGCUACUGGAUCGUCUGUAGCUGGGACUUAAUCUGGAACUUGGGCAGUUGGUGGAUCUUCAGGUGUUUCCCUAGCUAUUGUGCAGGCUAUAUAUCUACCCCUACCAUGUCCUCGACCUCGUCCUCGGCCUCUAGUGGCCCUAAUAGUGGUACUGGUGGUUGUCCAUCUUGACCAGUAGCAUGUGUCCGCACCAUCUUUACUAGAAUAGAAUAACAGAAGUUUAGUACUAGAAUUAAUAGAUUCACAUGAUAGGAAUACAAUAAUGAUAAGUUUUCCUAAAGGUUCUAUAGCUUCCCGAGGAUAAAUACAAAUGACUCUGUACCGAUCCGCGAGACACUACUAAAUCGGCUUAUGACUCGUAAGACCUAUGUAACCUAGGCUCUGAUACAAGCUUGUCAUGACCCCAAAUACCCUGGUUGUGAUGGGGCCUAACACAAUAUAAGGCAAGAUAAUCCAACGAGUAACCACAACAAAUUCUCUUUAUAGAACCAUUUUCUAAAAUUGAUUAAGUCUCAAAUUUUCAUAAGAAAUACAUAAAUCACUUAAAAGUGCGGAAAAAUAGUAUAAGCAUAGACCAGCAUAACACAAAAAUUAGGUGUCACAAGUCUAGAGCCUCUAAAUACAACCCAAUAUGACUGACUAAUACAUAAUAAGUCUAAAAAGGUAGAUAGAUAUAUACGGUAAAAUCGGAGGACCCGAUUUUCCCGUCAUUGGGCUACCUCGCGAACAUGCUCCUCGAGGUUCGAAAUCGAGGUCGAGACCCACCUUUGGGAGCCGUCGAGUGUCCACCCUGGGGGGCAAUGCAUACCAAGAUCUAUGAUAUGGAAGAAGGGAGUUCCCAAGGCAUGCAGUUGAUGUUGACAGAGCCUAAUGCUAUCUAGUUAUCCCAUCCUUCUACCUUUAUAAUUAUUGAAUUUUGUAUUAUUUCUGGAUUUCCCCGGCUAUAAAAGAGGAUCCUUACUAUUUUUUGAAAGACCAGUUGUUACUCCAACUAUUCAACACGAGAUAAAUAAUAACUCUCUUGCUAUUUUCUCUCUAACGUAUUCUCUCUAUUGUUGUUCCUAUUUGUUAUUUGCAUAGUUGUUCUUCAUUUAUUGCUUGUCAUUAGCAAUAAAGAGCCUCCCUCAAUUAUAUCCCAACUAUUAGUCCUUGCUCGAUAAUCCUCGAUAGCUCGAGCCCAAGCAUCGACCUCGAGGUCUCGCAGUGACCAGUCUAAGGCUCGAGUAACUAACCCUUGAUUCGAUUAUAACUCCAUUCUAGCAUGUGUUUCAUCUUUGAACUUCACACGCAUAGCAUUAACUACUUAAAAAAACUAGAAUAAAAAUAGUCGCAUAUUUUUAGAGUCCCAUCAACAAAUUUAAUUGUCAUUACAAUUUUCACGGUAAACAAUAUGGCGCCCACCGAGGGGCUAAAAAUAAUAGUGAUUAUUUUCUUGCUGGUUUCAUUACACAACGCAAGUUAUCUUUCACACUUUUUCUUGUCGAAGAUCUUCAAUUUCAGGUCAAAAUGUCUAGCACAGUGAACAGAGUUGAGAACAACAACCUCGAAAACCGCAGGGAAAACGGGGAGGCUAUUUCAGUUGUCGGCGCGCCGCCACAGAAGCCCGAUAACACGCUAGAACCGAUUACAACAGACGUGGAUUCGCAGGACACACAACACCCAAGAUCUUCAAUUUCAGGUAAGUAUGUCUGGCUUAGUAAGUAGGAUAGAAAAUGACAACCUCAAAAACCACAAAGAGAAUGAUAUGGCUAUUCAAAAUAUCGGAACACCACCGCGAAACUCAACUUGGGCGGAAAAAGAGAUUCCUGGAGAGACCGACAUCCCCCAAGGACCAUGUUCAAAUGGACAAAAACAUCCAUUACAGAAUAAAGAUCGAUCCGAAACCGUGUGUCCGGAAACACCUUUGCAUUCAGCAAGGAGGAUCUCAAGGCCAUGAAAGAACCGCACAACGGCGCGCUACUAAUCUCAUUUAUUUUAAACAAUACUAGGAUAAAAUGUGUUCUUGUGGAUCCAGGAAGCUCAUCCAACAUAAUCAUAUCAUAUUUAGUAUGACAACUAGGGCUGCUCGAUCGAGUCAGUGCCCUCUCUUGAGUCCUCCACAACUUCAAACAUGAUUGGCAAAGUAACGAAUGGAAAGAUCACUCUCCUGAUUGACACGUCCCAUGCAAUUUAGAACACCGAGUUCCAAGUCAUCGACAGUGACAUGAGGUACAACGCAAUUCUUGGCAGGACUUGGAUACACAACAUGAGGGCAAUACCGCCAACCCUACACCAGGUGAUAAAGUUUCCCAUAAAGGAUGGAGUAAUGACCGUAUAUGGAGAACAACGGGUGGCAAAAGAAAUGUUCGCGGUUCACCGUGAAGUGCCGAUCCCCACGCACCUAAUCUUGGAUGAGCCUGAGAACACGCAGACCUCCAAGGACUACGAAGAAGAUUUCCUCUCUCCUCAAACCUUAGUAGCCCCCGAAGAAUCGGAUGCAACUAGUCGAUAGUCGAAGAAUUGGAGAAGACCGUUUUGAUCAAACUAGAUGUUGUAGGCGCAUAAUCUUAAUAUUACCUUCCUAAACUCGGGUAUGCAUUUCAUGUGACCCAAAUCCAAAUCUUAACAACAUUGAAUAAAAUGUGUCUCGAACUGUGGGUGCAUUUUAUUUGGCGUGGUCCAAAGACGUGUUUUAGAUGGCGUUGAAAUUUUCCUUAAAAUAGUUAAAAAUGGCUUUUUAAUGUUAAAAUGCACAUAGGUCUAAAAGUGUUUUAAAAUCAGAUAAUUAGGCCAAUAAUAAUAGUUCAGCGACCGUCCUAAAACCAUGGGACUUGGGAAUGCCUAACACCUUCUCUCGGGUUAACGAAAUUCCUUACCCGGAUUUCUAUGUUCGGGGACUGUAAAAUAGAGUCAAUCAUUCAUCGAUUGGGGAUUCAAAACCGGUUACUUAAGACAUCAUAAAUUAUUCCAAGUGACGACUCUGAAUUUAAUAAAUAAAUAAUCUCGUUUCGAUUGUCACUUAAAUGGGAAAAAAACUCCAAUUUUACUCCAUUAAGAGGGUGCAGGUAAAAAAUGAGGUGUGACAACUCAUGUGACUUUGCUGGGGGUUGAACCCAAAAUCUCUGGUUUUGGGUUCAAGAGUUCGAGCUUGUUAAUUUGAUUUUACUUGGCUUUAUUUAUUAUUGAUACUACUGUAUUUUGUGAACCUUGUGUGAUAAAUGUUAUAUAUUUACCUAUUUAAUAUUAUUUGAUUUCUAUAUAACUGUCUUCUUACGCCACCCGUUUGAGUCUUUUGAAAAUGGUGCACAUAUUCGUGUGGCCCUUUUUCUGUAGAACGUAUACCAAAUAGAGUGAGGCUGGGAAAACGACAAGGCCGGGUAGACUUCAGUGCUCUCGGUACAUCGCCCCUUCUUCGGCCCCAGUUAUCCGCUCGGGUACCCUAAGCCUAGACCAAAAUCCUAGGAUUUAAACCUAGAAAAACACAGCUUCAUGACGGAACCCUAGUAGGAACGUUUAUUUGCAUCAUGUGCAUUUGACUUUGGGGACUAAAUACAGGGGCUGGGUCCGUCUAGGACAGGUGUACCCAAAAUAAAAGACCAUCCUGAUGCAUCCUAUGUGCUACAUGUUUUUUUUUGGUAAUUAAAUCUUGUUGUAUUAAUCACCAAAGGUAUUUCUUUACAAAGCCAUUUUGGAUUUUUUUUGAAGUUUUUUUUUUUUUGGUAGUUAAAUCUUGUUGUAUUAAUCACCAAAGGUAUUUCUUUACAAAGCCAUAGUUCAGCUAUACACAGCUGACUAUCAUCUAUAAAAAACCUAGCUAACAUCUACAUUUACUAUACCUAUAGUUCUAAUUACAGAAGAUAAUGCAGAAGGUGUAGGCUAACUUUAGGGGGACUCCUAACAUGACAUGUAUAAGUAAUGCUUCUGAGUAAAUGUCCAGUGGAACAGGAUGUGUGCUUGAACAAUCUUGAGUUUCUCUCUAACCAAAUAUUAUACAGCAUUUCAGCAAAGACCAUUUUGAUCAUUUGAGCUCGACCAAAUUUUCCUUUAGACUUGGUUAUGAUUCACUGUAUGUAUUGCUCCCAAAUUUGGUAAUUGGCUUGAGUUACUCCAAUCCACUGCAAAGUUUGGUGUCUCAGCAAGGAAGUGAAUGAGCAUGAGAAGAACAGAUGAUCCCUAGUCUCCUUAUCUUGUUGACAUAAUGCACAUGUGUUGUCCACAUUGAGUGAAGAACAGAUGAUCCCUAGUCUCCUUAUCUUGUUGACAUAAUGCACAUGUGUUGUCCACACUGAGUUUCCACUGUUCUAGUCUAUCCUUUGUAGGCAGCUCUGUAAUAUCAGCCAGAGGUUGAAGACUGUCUUAGGUCUAGCAUAGUUUUGGAUAGUUAGAUUCUUCCACACUACUCUUGGCAACUGUCCAAUCUGUUGUAAGUAAAGCUUCUUGAUAGAGCAAGCUGGUUGUUGCAGCAUCUGUGAAUGCUGCAAUGUAACAGUAGCAGGAAUGAUCUUCCUAAUCAUCCAACUGGCUUGGUUAGGGAUGGUUAAGAAUUGUAAUUGUUGCUGUUUUAUGUACACUGAAUGUAUCCAUUUUACCCAUAGAACAUCUUUCUUGUUGGCAAAAUCCCACCCAAGCUUGGUGAUUGCAGCUUUGUUCCAUAUUAGCAGAUUCAUAACAUUUAAACCCCCAGCAGACUUAGGUAGGCAGGCCUUAUCCCAGGCUACAUAUGAUUUUUUUGAUAUGUUGGCUGAUCCUGUCCAAACAUAGGAUCUACAGACUGCAUCCAGCAUCUUUAGUAUUUUUGAAGGAAUAAGGAAAAGCUGAGCCCAGUAUGCUUGUAUACCAAAAAUGACUGACUGCACCAGCUGAACUCUCCCUGCAUAGGAUAAUUUCCUAGCAGUCCAGGAUGUGAUCAUGGCAGUAACCUUAUCCACCAAUGGUUUUCAUUGUAGUAAUGAUACUUUCUUGGAAUAUAGAGGAACUCCCAAAUACUUGAAAGGUAACUCUCCAUAUACAUAACCAAGAUGAUUGACAAUGUGUUGUUGUGCAUCAGGAGAAACACCUCCAAAAUAGACAUAGCUUUUACUCAGAUUAGCAGUCAUACCAGAAGCCUCAGUGAAUUGAGAGAAGUAUCUGAACAUGGUUGUGACAGCCUUCAAGUCUACUUUGGCAAAUAACAGUAGGUCAUAUGCAAAGCUAAGAUGAGUAAUAUUUAACCUUUUGCAACCAGGAUGGAAUAAUAAUUCUGGAUCUUUCUUUAGUUCCACAAGAGCCCUGCUAAGGUAUUCCAUCACUAUAGCAAAUAGGAAGGGAGAGACUGGGUCACCUUGUCUCAAGCCUUUAGCUGCUUGGAANNNNNGCCUGGGAAGUGUAAAGAUUCCAUCACUUGUUGCAAGAAGAUCCACUCAACAGAAUCAUAAGCCUUCUGUAAGUCUAUUUUAAUCAUGCACCUAGGGGACACAUGAGUUUUAGCAUAGUGUUUGAUCAGCUCAUGUGCUAAGAUAACAUUAUUAGCAGCCCUCCUUCCUGGAAUGAAACCUGCCUGGGAAUCACUAAUGAUAUUAGCCAUGCAUUUCUGUAAUCUGUUGGCCAGCAUCUUAGAUAUUAUCUUAUAUAUAACUGAACAACAGGCAAUUGGUCGAAAUUCCUUGACUGACUGUGGGUUAGGAACUUUAGGAAUCAGUGUAAGGGAGGCACAAUUAACUGGUUUAUACAUUUUGCCAGAUUGGAAGAAAUCCAGAACUGCCCUGGUGAUCUGGUUGCCAGUGAGCCACCAGGUCUGUGUAAAGAAAACAGCAUUGUAGCCAUCAAUCCCUGGUGCUUUGUGAUCACCAAUAGAUUUUAGGCUAUCUAGAAUCUCAUCAGUAGACACAUCUGCAGCUAGCUGCAGCUGCUGAUUAUGAGUGAGCUUUGGACCAUUAUCCAUGUAUGACCUAUUAAUUGCUGGUAGGGAGGCAGCUGAUGACCCCAUCAAAGACUUAUAGAAGUUCCUGAUUAAUGUCAUCUGGAUUGGUAAGUUUGGUGCCUCCUGCAGUAACCAGUAAUGCUUUUGUACUGAUUCCUUUCUUUUAGCACAGCAUUGAAAUACUUAUUGUUUGAGUCUCCCAGUUUUAUCCAUUUGGCUCUGGAUUUCUGUUGGAGGAUACUUUCUUCAAUCAUUGACCACUUCUCCAGNNNNNNNNNNNNNNNNNNNNNNNNNNNNNNNNNNNNNNNNNNNNNNNNNNNNNNNNNNNNNNNNNNNNNNNNNNNNNNNNNNNNNNNNNNNNNNNNNNNNNNNNNNNNNNNNNNNNNNNNNNNNNNNNNNNNNNNNNNNNNNNNNNNNCCUCCCUGCUAGAUUCAAUUUUCUGUGUGAUGUUCUUAAAUUCUCUAACAUUUAGAGAUUUUAGAACAGGUUUAAGUGCCUUGAGGUUGUUCCAUAUCAUCUUAAGAGUGCCCUGACCAGAACUCCUCCAAUGUACCUUCAUGAUGUGUUGAAAGUCCAUGUGGUUAGCCCAUGCAUUAUAAAAUUUGAAGGGUGCCUUCCUGACAGUAAUAUCUUCCUUCAUAGUAAGAACCAUUGGAUUAUGAUCAGAGAUUAAAGGAGUGUCAUACACAGUCUGUACAUGACUCCAUUUAAUCAUCCAGUCAUAAUUACCAAAAAUUCUAUCCAAUCUACUACAAACUCUCCCAUUGCUAGUUUGUUUGUUGGUCCAUGUGAAGAAAUCCCCUUCCCAAGGAAGCUCUGAUAGUUCAGCCAGUUGAAUGCAUUGAGUGAAGUCCAGAGUUUCAGCUUGUUUGACUUGAUUAUAUGAUUGUCUGUCAUUGAGAGACAAUCACAGCAUUGAAAUCACCUGCAACCAACCAAGGAUCAGUAAUACCAGUAGCAAGGUUUUGUAUGUGUUGCCACAUUGUUCUUCUUUGGUCCAAACCAUUGAAACCAUACACCACAGUGAGGAGGCAAAUCAGUUCCCCUACAGGAGUGUGAACACUGCAAUGAAGGAAUUGGGCAUCUUCCUGAAUACGGAGAAGGCAGAUCAGAUCCCCUACAGGAGUGUGAACACUGCAAUGAAGGAAUUGGCCAUCCUACUGAAUUCGUGUGACACUAAUCUUCUGAGGGUCCCAUAAAAUCCAGAUUCUACCCCUUGGAGAAUCUCCAUAGUUGGCUAGCAUACUCCAACCUGGAACCACCAGAUUAGAAAUUCUCCCUGCAUUAUUCUCCUUGACCUUUGUUUCUACCAAACUAACAAGACUAAAUUUAUUCUGUCUAAAGUAUUCUUUAGCUUCUUUCUAUUUAUAUCUCUUAUUAAUCCCUCUAAUAUUCCAAACUACUAGCUUCAUUUGGUAUAACUAGGACCUCCUUCAUCAGGGGGGGUGACCUGUUCUACUGGCUGACACAGCUUGAAAUCUAUUACUCAAUACCACAGGGGAUAAUGGGGGAAAAUUUGUAAGAUUGAAAACUGGAGAUUGCACCUGCUUGCCCUUAUCUAUCAGAGUGAAACCUUCUGUGUCAUCCAAAGGAUCAGCAUCCUUAGGAGGUAUUGCAUUCUGCCUUGGAACUACCUGUUGGUUGGGGUUCUCCAUAGGUUGUAUAGCAUUCUGAAUUGGCACUUUAACUCUCCAUGCAUUCUGCCUUGGUACUACCUGUUGACUGGGGUUCUCCACAGGUUGUAUAUCAUUCUGAUUUGGCACUUUAACUCUCCACUCCUGGAUAAUUCUUGGCUUUUGUGUAGGUUGAGGGGAUUUAGGAAUGGUCAGGCAGUUAUGACCUACCAUGAGACACUUCUCACAGUAUGUUGGCUUCCAGUCAUAUGUCACAUCCUGUAAAAAUUUCUUGCCAUUAGGAUCAAUAAGCUCAAUCUCACUUGGCAGAGGCUUGGAUACAUUAACCUCAAUAAGCAUGCGUGCAAAAGAGAUCCUAGUCUGUUUGGUAGUGCACUCAUCAGCAAAAAUAGGUUUGCCAAGAACACUGGCAAUCCUACUCAAAGACCUACUACCCCAACAUGACAUAGGAAGCCUAGGGAACUUUACCAGCAUCUUCCAUGGCUUGAAAUUUAGCUACAUAAUAACCCUCCUCAUGGUAGUAUAGAUCUGGCUCUGCAACAUGAGACUAGUGUAGACUAAUGAAACGUUUCAUAGCAUUGUAACCUGGUCCAGUCCCCAACACAAAAAUCACUAGGGCACAUUUCCAUUUCUGCUCUUUCUCCUCUACUUCCUCUUUCAAUAACUGGCCUACACGUUUGCCAUCAAGCAUAGUAGGUGUUAUAUACUCCAGUGACAUACCAUCCGAGGCAAACCUGUUCUUCUGGAAGAGAUUUGCCCACACUUUGGUUCCUUCAGUGGUCACCUUCUCUGUUUCAGGGAUAGGUGGUUGGUCUGAUGUCUGCAUGUGGUAAUUACCACCAUCACCUUGUAUAAUCUGAGGUUGAGGAAGCUCCGUAACUUCUAUUUGUUCAAAAACCUCCUCUGGUUGCAUCAAUGGAACAGUAAUCAAUGGAACAGUAGCAGGAUUUGGUCCUUUUUCACCGGAAACAGUUGGUGGGUGAUUUAUUGUUGAGAUGAUGCGAUCUAUUGUUGUAGUUGGUAUUUUACGAGGCCUACCCCUACCGCAACCUCUUCCUCUCGCCAUGAAAACCAGCUCGGCGACGUUUACUAACGUGCGCCGAGGCAGGCGGAGAAGAUGAGGCAAUGUAACAGUAAAGGUAGAGAGAAGGGAGAGCUUCUCUCUCUAGAAUGCUAAUAAAAGAAAAACUUUCACUGAUCUUGCACUUUGUCUAUGUGCUACAUGUUGCAUUUCUUCAAGGUUAAAAGGGUCAUUCGGCGGACCUAUGAAAGUUGAGGGCUAAUGAAAAGAAAGGAAAAAAAAGAGAGAGAGUGAAGUGUAAAAAAUAAAGCAAGUAGGACCCGAUUAUGUUCUCUGUCACAUUUUUGAAAAAGAAAAUAAAACAAUUCAAAAUUCAAAAAAAAAUUGAACUUUCCGAUCAUUUUCCGAAAAUCAAAAAACAAAAAGAGGAAAAAUAAAAUUCAAAAAGAGUUUACAUGUUUCAUUAGUAUUCAAAAUAAAAGAAAAAAAUAUAUUUUCUCUAAAUUAGUUAUUUUUUUAUUUCUCGCCCGUAUCCAAUCUGCCCGAAUUACGCAAACCUGAUUCUCGUCUUUCGGGGCAUGAUAAGUAGGCAACCCACAUAGGGUUUGAUUUUUCAAUUAAAUCUUAGGUUCUUGGCUUUGCAGGGUCUUAGCCAAAUUUUACACUUCUAGCCACCUUUUGGCUAAAUAAGCCAUUUUGCAAAUAUAGCCUCAAUCAUGUGUUGCAUGUGUCUAGUAUGGAAUGUUAUAGUCUCAUAUAGUGUUGGUUUAAAUUUUCUCAUACAUGUGUGGAUCUACUUACAUGAGUUUGAGCAUGACAAAUGCCCCAGGGCCACUGCAUUCAGAAGUUGCUUAAGGAAAUUUUUUUUUAUGCCGUCUUUUACUUUCUAGUUUUGUAUAAUAAUAUCGAUUUUUUAAUUAAUAUUUAUAUUUUCUAUUUUGCAUAUGAAAAGUGUGUUAUAAAUCAAAAUCCAAAAAAAAGAGAAGUUGCAUUUUGUAUUUGUGUUGGAUGUUUUCUUUAGAAUAAUAAUUCUAGGAAUUUUUAAAAAAAUCAUUUGAGGUGGGUUUUCUUUAUUGAAUUAAUAUCUAGAACUCAAAAAGAAUUCUUUUAUACUUCCUUUUAGUUGAACACUAAAAAUUCAAAAAAAAAAAAAGAGAAUUUCCUUGUAGUACCUCUUUAAAAGUUUUCUUUAAGAUAUUACUUCCAAAAAUCAAAAAAGAUUUUUUUUUAAGGUUAUUCUUUGGGAAAUUAAUGAAAAAGUUUCUUUUUUUUAUAAGAACUUUAUGACGUUGUACAUAGAAAGAAAAACAUACUUUAUCUUUUGUUUAUCAUUAGAAUUUAGGCAAUCAAAAUUGAAAUCCAAAAUAUUUUGUUUUAUCUUCUUUAUUGCUUGUUUCGAAAUUCCGCGUCAGGAUAUUCAAUGAAAAUUCAAAUACUUUUUUGUGGUUUACUCUUUGUAUUUUCUUCCGAAAAAAAAAGAAUCAAAAAAUAUUCUAGGGUUUUUCUUAAUAAUUUUCCAUAGAUUAUUUGUUUCAAAAAGAAAAAAAAGAAGCAAAAACACAUAUGCUCGUUAAGCUUGAGUUUGCAAUAGGUUAUAGAACAUUAAGUCUAGAAAAAAAAAGAGAUUUCUUCGUUUAUUUCUCUUUUCUUAUCAGAAUAGUCAUUAACAAAAAAAGAAAAAAAAAAGAGAAGAAGAAGAAAAAGAGAACAUUAGUUUGUUUACUUUAUUUUCGAUCUUCCAGAACUACGCAAAUAUUUCAUUCAUGCGGCGUCAUGAUACAUAGGCAACCUACAUAGGGUUCGAUCGAAUUAUUUUUGUAUUAUAAAAAGAAAAAAAGAAAAAAAGGGAAGAAUUAAAAAAAGAAAAAAAAAGAAAUAGGGUGAAAUUAUGGGACAUGAGAAAUGAAAGAAAAGAAAAGAGUGAUAAUUAGAAAAGAAAGAGGAAGGAAAAUGAUCAAGCAAGUGCUAGAAAUGCAAAGAAAAGAGAAGAUUCAAAUGGAAAAAUUGGGAUGAUGCCAAGUGACCCUCAAAGUCAUUCUAGAAUCAUUAAUUAUUGCUAGGUGCAUCGCGCGCAAUGUGAUAUUUUUGUUGUUAAAUGCCCUAACGCUAACGGGAUUACCCCAUUUUGUUCCUUUUGAUAUCUUCAUAGAACAAAGGUGGUUGGUUUGUGGUUCUCGAAGUAGUAACUCCUCUCCACAAAAUAAGGUUAAAAGGCAAUGGUGGACAACAACAAAAUUAGGUUGGUUGAUACCAGUGCCUGAAAGUAGUUGGUUGAACAGGACACUAGUUUGGCUGAUGAGGUAAGGAUGUUACACAUGACAGACAUGUAUCAGCCCUGGAUGACUUGGAAGGCACCACCCCUGCCACCACCUAGCUUCUUAGAUGCUACUCUUAUCCAAAAUCCGGUCAUAGUGCCAGAUGAUCCCCUAUACUCUCCAGAUCCACCCGUUUAUCACAGCUUUCCCAACCGUCCUAGUAGCACUAUCACUCAUCCUCCAAUUACCUCUCCCUAAAAUUGCCCUCCUGUCAUAUCCAUUAUUCCUAAUAAUGAAUAUCCACUCAAAGCAUGAUGCCCAAUACUAUCCCACAGAGGUUGCACACAAAGUUCCUGACUCAUACAAGAAGAGCCCUCGGGAUGAGCUUCAAGUAGAAAAUGAAAAGGUGAAAGGAAAAGAAGGGCGAGAUGAGAUAUCCACAAAGUUGAAAAACACAGAACAAUCCUUAAAGAACAACAAGAGACAUGAGACUAGGUCAACAUGUUUUAUAAAGAGUUGUGUAUGUUCCCAAAUGCUCGUCCGCUCGGCAGGAUUUAAUGUGCCAAAGUUUAACUUGUAUGAUAGGUGUGGAGAUCCGGCAGCCCAUCUGAGAGGUUAUUGUAGUGAAAUGAGAAGUAUUGGUGAGAAAGAUGAUUUGUUGAUGGCGUAUUUUAAUGAGAGCUUGACUGGGCAGCUUUGGAAUGGCAUAAUCGUCAAGAUGUCGGUAAGUGGCAUACAUGGGGUGACAUAGCUUAAGAUUUGUGGGACACUUCCAGUACAAUAUAGACAUUGUCAGAGACCGCACCUCCUUACCUCAAAUGGAAAAGAAACUAAGGGAAUUUUUAGGGAUUUUCGGCUCAGGUGGAACGAGAAAAUUGCACGGGAUAGACCUUCUAUUGAUAGAAAAAAUGUUCCUAAGCCCCGAUGACAACAGGGUCCAGUGGUCGUUCUUGCUAAAUGCUUUCAGCCUCAAUAUCGACCCUAUGGAUAUUCUUGUAAUCCUCCUGACUUAUCCUUAUCUCCACAGAACUCCCAAAAUCGUACAUCAUUUUCCCGAUACCCCAUCCAUAAUGCAGCACCAUAUGCUCCAUAUCCCCGAGGCCAACGAUGGCCCACACCACUUCCACAAAUAUCUCACCUACCCCCUCAGACAUAUCACGCACCUGCUCGCAAAAGGUUCCAACCGAGGACAGAGUAUAAAAUGAAAAGACUACUGAAAAAAGAAAAUGCUUUCAUGCCCAUCGGAGAAUCCUAUUCAAGCUUGUUUGAAAAGUUAGAGUAUUCUAGCCUGAUUGAGCCGCUCCUCAGCUAUACUCCAGACCCAUAUGCAAAAGACUUUUAUCAUGUGGUACGGUGCAAGUACCACUCUAAUGUCCAAGGCAUAGCAUUAAAGACUGUCGCUCUUUGAAAAGGGAAAAAUAAAGAAUAAUUCAAAACGGGAUAAUUGUGAAGGGACAAUCACAUGAAGUAUGCAAAUCCUCUUGUGAACUUGCCGACUGAGGUUAAUGAUAUUGAAAUUGGUAAUGGUCUUGGUAAUAUUGAUGUGGAACUCAGUGGCUAAGAUGCCAAGCUUGAUAAUUAGAAAGACGCUCCUUUCUUGGCUAGCCAGGAAAGAGUCUUGGUGGUUUAUUUUGUUGUCAUUUUUGUUGUCCAAAUUAUUUCAGGGUUGUAAUCCGAAUAUUAUCAUGUGAUUCAAACUCUUCUAUCCUUUUAUUUUGCCUGGUUUGUUUAGUCGUAGUAGCUCGUUUAAUAUUGCCUAGGUUUGUUCCAGGGUCGUAACCUUAGUUUAGUAUGCUUGUUUUGUUUUUCAUACACUUUCACCAUCUGUCUAAUGCAAUUUUUUGUCUUCUAUUAUUUCUAGUCACUUUUGUUUAGUUCUCUUUUCUUUUAUAGCCCUUUUUGUGUUGACUCUAGUGACAUGACAUGCACGCGUAAUUCUCAGCCAAAUUUUUGAAAGUUAGGUCAAUCAUGAAGCAAUUUGGAAGAUGAUAUGGACAUUUGAGGGAAAUAAGUAAAGAAAUUUUGAGAUCACUUCAAGCCCGAGGGUAGAUAGAACAUAAGGAAAUAUUAUUGAAAUGCAUAUGCCGCAUCGGGUUGAAGCUAAAGGAAAGUUUGCCCCUAAUUGGUAGGGAUCAUUCGUGGUAACGAGAGUGUUGUCUAAUGGUGCUUUGUAUUUAACAGAUAUAGAAGACAAAUGUAUAGAAAUGACUAUGAUUUCUGAUGUAGUUAAUAAAUAUUAUGUAUGAUUUCUUUGGUUAAAUUGUGUUUGUUUGUACUUGAAAUGUUUUGAGGAUUGGAAUAACGAAGGCAUUUUGUUAUGCUAUCUAAAACUUUAUCCUUUGUUACCCCUUUGAGCAUUAUUUAUUUCCUUUCAUACCCCUCUUUUUGGAAUCAACAACAAAGAUAAAAAAACGCAAGCGCGAAAGACAAGUAAAGGAAAACAGAGAAGAAAAAAAUGAUUAAAAAAAAAAAGAAGAAGAAGAAGAAGAAGAAGAAGAAGAAGAAGAAGAAGAAGAAGAAGAAGNNNNNNNNNNNNNNNNNNNNNNNNNNNNNNNNNNNNNNNNNNNNNNNNNNNNNNNNNNNNNNNNNNNNNNNNNNNNNNNNNNNNNNNNNNNNNNNNNNNNNNNNNNNNNNNNNNNNNNNNNNNNNNNNNNNNNNNNNNNNNNNNNNNNNNNNNNNNNNNNNNNNNNNNNNNNNNNNNNNNNNNNNNNNNNNNNNNNNNNNNNNNNNNNNNNNNNNNNNNNNNNNNNNNNNNNNNNNNNNNNNNNNNNNNNNNNNNNNNNNNNNNNNNNNNNNNNNNNNNNNNNNNNNNNNNNNNNNNNNNNNNNNNNNNNNNNNNNNNNNNNNNNNAGAAGAAGAAGAAGAAGAAGAAGAAGAAAAAGAAGAAAGGGCAGUAGAAAAGUAAAGAAAAAAAAGAACAAUUAAAGAACAAAAUGAGAAAGAAGGAAGAAAAAAAGAGAAAGAAAAGAAAGAGAAAAGAGAAAAUAACAACAACAAAGCAAUUCCUAUGACAUGAACUACGUUCGACCUGAUUCCCUUUAAGGAUAUGUAGGUAGCCUCAUGGUUUGGUCCUAUCAAAAUAAAAAUCCCAAAAGUCCCCAAGCAAAGAAACUGGGACAGAAGUUGAGAUUGUUAUUAAGAGAUCUGAUUCUGAAAGUUAUAAUCUUGAACCCAUUUGAAUUGUUUUGAACCUUUUGAUACCAUUUCUUUCUAACCCUACCCAAAAUCCCACAUUACGGUCUAAAGAAAGGCCUUCCGACCACUCUUCGAGAGAUGCCAAGUCGAGCAAAAAGAGACGAUUCAUGUCAGGGGAAACACUCCGUUCUGAGCAAAGAGAAUAACAUAUUGAGAGAUUCUCAUUGGUGAAAACCUUCACAGGCACCAUAAGGUGAUGGUGACUUAAGAAAAAGAACAUAAUGAGAGAGAUUUUAUUGUGAAAACCCUUCGGGCACUACAAGUCAAAUAAGGAUCAUGAAUCAGAUUAGAUAAUCAAAGCAUUGAAGUCCAGUUUCACGGUUUAGGGGUAUAAUAAGAGUUGAAAUCAAACUUGCUUACAGAAUGGGCCACAGGUGCAUGUUAUGACCAUUAGAGUUGGUAUCCACAUCUGAUAGGUUUUUACUUUGUAGUUUUUUUUUAGGAACCAUCUCUUUCCUUUGUCCUUUACACUGUUUCUUUUGUCUUGUUUACUUACUCUCCCUAAGUCUGUUUGGUCAGAACAAGUUAGAAAUGACUUCAAAAUUUGCCAUCGGCUUUCCAAUUAAACAAAACGAGAUCUGGCUAGCACAUCAAAAUAUCAUAAGUCAUAAAAGAACAAGCGCACUGAGUUGGUAGUAAUCAACAUGUUUUGAGAUCCAUGUGAAGUACAAAUGUUUGGUACAUAUCAACAUAUCAAUCAUAAGCAAUGCAACAGAUGGAGGGUGUCAGGUGAAUGGACCAAAGGUAGCAAUGCAAUAGAUGGAGGGUUAGGGUGAACGGAUCAAAGGUAUUUUAUGUGAUAAGAUUGACAAAGAAAGUGGUUAACUAGUGACAAGAAAGGUCUUCCAAGCAGAAACAAAAGUUAUCACGGAAAGUGAUGGAGCAAUAGACCUCAAGGCCAGUGAAUUAAGUUUGGAAAGAACCACAUGCGCAUUUAGUGGAUGGUAAUUGACGUGCUUUGGGAUUUAUGUGAGACACAAAUGUUUGGUAAAUGUCAGUUCAUGAGCAAUGCAACAUAUAGAGGGUAUUGGGUCUGGAGAAGAGGUAUUUUCUAUAAUAAGGAUGACAGAAAAAGCGAUUAGUCAAUAAACAAGCAAAGUCUUCUAGUGUAAAUCAAAGUUAUCAUGGGAAGUGAAGGAGAAAUCGGCCUCAAAGUCAAGACCACAACCCAACCACCAUAUUUUUAAACUAAUAAGAUUUUUCUUUGACUUGAAACAAGGGCAGAAAAUUUUGUUUGCUUCAGAGAACCCUACGUAAGGAAAAACAAGCACCAGACAGAUUUGAUCGUAAAUUCUCAGGACCCUCCAGGAAAAUGGGACCUAGUUUAAAAUUCAAAACAAUCAUGAGUAGCAAGAUCUAGCAUAAAUGUAUCCAAAGGAAUAUAAGUCGGUUUCAAAUUUUUCAUUCUUAAGAGAGGAUUCAAUUAGGAGUUGUCAGGACCCUCCUGAAUAAUGAGACUUAUCUUUAAAAUUUUCAUUAGAUAACAAGAUUUAGCGUAAGCUCUGCAAUAUGGUAGUAUAAUUCAGCAGUAAAAGUUGUCAAUCUUAAGAUAAGACUUGAUUUUUUAUUUUCAGGACCCUCCGGGAUAGUGAGAGGUAGCUUAAAGAUUUCUUAGAUAACGAGAUUUAGUGGAAGUCAUACCUUUAGAAGAUAUAAUUUAGAUUUAAAACUGUCAUUUAACUAGAAGUUUUCAGGACUCUCCUAGAUAAUGGGAUUUAAUUUUCAAAUCCUUAGAAAUAUUUGGUGAAAAGAUUCAAUUAACACACAUAGAUGCGCCCAACACCAAACUGGGGCAUGAAAAUUUCAUUUAUUUGUUUUGUAAUAAUCAGGUUCAAAGGUAGCAGUUCCAGGGGGUAUAAUUCAAGUUUUUGGAAACCAAGAGCCCGCCUGGAGAACAAGGGAAUACAACUAAUGUUUUGGCAAUCAGGAGCCCGCCUAGAGAAUAAGGGAAUACAGUUUAAGUUUUGAUAAUUAGGCACCCACCUGGAGAGAAAGGGAAUACAGUUUAACUUCUGGCAAUCAGACACCCACCUGGAGAACAUGGGAAUACAGUUCAAGUUUUAGAAAUCUAACGCCCACUUAGAGACCGGGGAAUACAGUUCAAGUUUUGGCAAUCACGCGCCCACCUGGAGAGCAAGGGAAUACAUUUCAAGUUUUGAUAAUAAGGCUCCCACCUGGAGAACAAGGGAAUACAGUUAAAGUUUUGGCAAUUAGGCACCCACCAGGAGAACAAGGGAAUACAGUUCAAGUUUUUGGCAAUCAGGUGCCCUGCUGAAAAACAAGGGAAUACAGUUGAUGUUUUUCGUAAUCAUACGCCCACUUGGAGAAUAAGAGAAUACAGUUCAAGUUUUUGGCAAUCACACGCCCACCUGGAGAACAAGGGAAUAUAGUUCAAGUUUUGGCAAUCGUGCACCCACCCGGAGAACAAGGGAAUAUAGUUCAAGUUUUGGUAAUCAGGCACCCACCUAGAGAACAAGAGAAUAUAGUUCAAAUUUUUGGUAAUCAGGAACCCACCUGGAGAAUGAGGGAAUACAGUUCAAGUUUUUAACAAUCAGGCGCCCACUUGAAAAAAGAGGGAAUAUAGUUCAAGUUAUCUCAAUCAGGCGCCCAUUUAGAGAACAAGGGAAUACAGUUAAAGUUUUGGCAAUCAGGCUCCCACCUGGAGCUGUCACACCUCCUUUUUACACACACCCCUCGAAGGAUAAUGUAUAGGGGAGUUUUUCCAAUUUAAGUGACAUCAUUCAAAUGAGAUUAUUUAUUUAUUCCAGAGUCGCCACUUGGGAUAGUUUUUUUGUGUCCCAAGUCACAGGUUUAUUUUAAAUCCCAAAUCGAGGAAAAUUCGACUUUUCUUGUGAAGUCUGCGAACCAGAAAUUCUGAAUAAGGAAUUCUGUUAAUCCGAGGGAAGGCGUUAGGAAAUCCCGGAUUCUGUGGUUCUAGUAUGGUCAUUUAAACUAUUAUAAUUGGCCAAUUAUCUUAUUUUAGUACAUGUUUCAAACAUAUAGUGCAAUUUUAAAUUACUUAUUCACCGCUUUAAAUUAAUUUUGAGAAAAAUUACAACGUUAUUAAAACACGCCUCGAAUCACGUCACAUAAAUGCACCCAUGACUUAUGACAUAUUCUAAUAUCGUUGAGAUUUGGAUUUGUGUCACAUUAAUGUCCACCCGAGCUUAGGAAAGUAUAUUAUUAAAAUGAGCGCCUAAAGUAACAUGUUGAUAACUUUGCGAGAAACCAUGAAAAUUUGCUAAAUGGCACAUCUCGCUUUUCUAAGAAUUUUUAAAAAAUAAUUUAAGCGAGGACCACGCAUUCAAGAUUCUAUUUGGCAUGAUGCACCUUAAUUCUAUUUUAAAGGGUAUUCGAACUAAAAUCCGGAGGACCAUAAUUAUUUGUGUUAUUGAAUAUGGGCACCUCACUUAACUUAAGAAAUUUGGUAAUUUACAAAGUCAUUGUGGCAACGAAUCGGGCAAUUAUCAUAAUGUUACUCAUUUUACCAAGGAAUCUCCCAAACUUUAAUUUCUACACCAAAUCAAUAUGAUAACUUCCAGUAAGCAACAAACAAUAUUUAAGAACUCAAGCUUAUUUCAGUGAACGAACAAGAUUUAGCUGAUACCAUUCAAAUGCUCAAAGUCAAGAAAAGUCUUCCAACAAUUCCAUGUUAUAUUCCAAAGAAUUAAAAUAAAUCUCAAAUUAGUUUAACAUUAUCAAAUGCUUCAAUUCCUUAACAAUCUUAUAUUUUAGUAGCUCAAGUGCCCUUAAACUCAUUCGAAACUGGUGGGAACAAUUGUCUCGGUGAAUGUUAAAUACAAAAAGAAAAUAACUCAUGCUGUACAUUAGAGGUUAAUUUUAUGAGUAAGACUUAAGUCAUCCAUGAGAUACGUGGAAAAGGUUAAUUUUAUAAUUAAAAAAUAAAUCAAUCUGCUAUAUGUGCAAUAGUAAAAAAUACUAUAAAAAUUUGAAAAAAAUAAAAUAAAAUAAACUAAAAAACGGCAUUCAACAAUACUAACACAAACUAAGAAUUCCCAAACAAAAGUGAUAUACUAUGAAAAUAUCUUACUCUAUGAACAGAAGCUUGACUCCAUUGCAUCAAAAUUUAACCCAUGUACUUGAGAACAAGAUUCAUACCUUAAUCAGCAGUAAUAAAGUUCCAAAUAACCAGACAAAUGCUUCAUAAUACUGAUGGAGAUCAACAGCAGUGGUGAAUGAAGCAGCAUCACUCAACUUCGAUUUUUAGUCAAAAAAAUAACUUGGUUUCGAAAUUUCUUCUUUUUUUUGGUUUUCGGAUCUCUAUUUAAAAAUCUCUAGCCCUUUUCUUUAUCUGCUAUUGUGCGAGUUCUGUUGCCUGUAAUGUUUGUGAAAACUAAGAAAAAGCUCGGAGCUUCAGGGCUACCCUUUUCUCUCAGAUGGAGAGGUUUCUCCUUAAGAUUUUUCUAUCUUUUUUUUCAGGUGUCGUCCUAAUGUGUUGGGUCUAGGUCUAUUAAUUAGAGGGGAGGGUCUGAUU